UUGACUUCUUGGCCUUUUGGCUGUGAUCAAGUGCAUUAUUUGUUCUUAUCAAUUUAUCAUGUGUUGUGUCCUCGGUCCAAGGAUAAAAACAAAACUUAAAUGGUUUUUGGAGAAGAACGAUGGAAUGGAGCAUGUCCAUUCCACUGGUUGAUCUGGCAAUGUGAUUUCUCCUCAUAUGGUACACACCCU